rnacentral:rRNA from 1 species
UACGAAGGGGGCUAGCGUUGCUCGGAAUGACUGGGCGUAAAGGGCGCGUAGGCGGUUUGUACAGUCAGAUGUGAAAUUCCCGGGCUCAACCUGGGGGCUGCAUUUGAUACGUGCGGACUUGGGUGGGGAAGAGGGUCGUGGAAUUCCCAGUGUAGAGGUGAAAAUUCGUAGAUAUUGGGAAGAACACCGAUGGCGAAGGCAGCCAUCUGGACCGACACUGACGCUGAGGCGCGAAAAGCGUGGGGGAGCAAACAGGG